UACGUAGGAGACAAGCGUUGUCCGGAAUUACUGGGUGUAAAGCGCGUGUAGGUGGUAGGCCAAGUCUGCUGUGAAAUCGCCCGGCUCAACUGGGCGCGGUCGGUGGAAACUGGUCAACUGGAGGACGGUAGAGGCGAGUGGAAUUCCCGGUGUAGUGGUGAAAUGCGUAGAGAUCGGGAGGAACACCAGUGGCGAAGGCGGCUCGCUGGGCCGGUCCUGACACUGAGACGCGAAGGCGUGGGGAGCGAACGGG
rnacentral:rRNA from 1 species